rnacentral:rRNA from 1 species
AUUUAAAAUCUGGCAGUCUAUGGCUGUCCGAGUUGUAAUCUAGAGAAGUGUUAUCCGCGUUGGACCGUGUACAAGUCUCCUGGAAUGGAGCAUCAUAGAGGGUGAGAAUCCCGUCUUUGACACGGACUGCCAGGGCUUUGUGAUGCGCUCUCAAAGAGUCGAGUUGUUUGGGAAUGCAGCUCAAAAUGGGUGGUAAAUUCCAUCUAAAGCUAAAUAUUGGCGAGAGACCGAUAGCGAACAAGUACCGUGAGGGAAAGAUGAAAAGAACUUUGGAAAGAGAGUUAAACAGUACGUGAAAUUGCUGAAAGGGAAACGCUUGAAGUCAGUCACGUUGGCCAGGGAUCAACCUUGCUUUUGCUUGGUGUAUUUUCUGGUUGACGGGUCAGCAUCAAUUUUGAUCAUUGGAAAAAGGUCAAGGGAAUGUGGCAUCUUUGGAUGUGUUAUAGCCCUUGGUUGCAUACAAUGGUUGGGAUUGAGGAACUCAGCACGCCGUAAGGCCGGGUUUUUAACCACGUACGUGCUUAGGAUGCUGGCAUAAUGGCUUUAAUCGACCCGUCUUGAAACACGGACCAAGGAGUCUAACAUGCCUGCGAGUGUUUGGGUGGAAAACCCGAGCGCGCAAUGAAAGUGAAAGUUGAGAUCCCUGUCGUGGGGAGCAUCGACGCCCGGACCAGACCUUUUGUGACGGUUCCGCGGUAGAGCAUGUAUGUUGGGACCCGAAAGAUGGUGAACUAUGCCUGAAUAGGGUGAAGCCAGAGGAAACUCUGGUGGAGGCUCGUAGCGAUUCUGACGUGCAAAUCGAUCGUCAAAUUUG